rnacentral:tRNA from 1 species
UUUAGUUAGUUUAAUAAAAAUUUUGAUUUGUGGUAUCAAAGAUAUAAUAUUUAUACUAAAUUA